UACGGGGGGAGCAAGCGUUGUUCGGAUUUACUGGGCGUAAAGGGCGCGUAGGCGGUCGUGACAAGUCACUUGUGAAAUCUCCGGGCUUAACUCGGAACGGUCAAGUGAUACUGUCGGACUAGAGUACAGAAGGGGCAACUGGAAUUCUCGGUGUAGCGGUGAAAUGCGUAGAUAUCUGGAGGAACACCGGUGGCGAAGGCGGCAUCCUGGACCGGCAUUGACGCUGAGGAGCGAAAGCCAGGGGAGCAAACGGG
rnacentral:rRNA from 1 species